rnacentral:rRNA from 1 species
UACGAGUGCCCCAAGCGUUAUCCGGAAUCAUUGGGCGUAAAGGGCGCGUAGGCGGGGAUAAUAGUCAGAUGUGAAAUCCUGGGGCUCAACCUCAGAACUGCAUUUGAAACUGUAUCUCUAGAGGGUAGGAGGAGAAAACGGAAUUCCACAGGUAGCGGUGAAAUGCGUAGAUAUGUGGAAGAACACCGGUGGCGAAGGCGGUUUUCUAUCUUAUUCCUGACGCUGAGGCGCGAAAGCAAGGGGAUCAAACAGG